AAGGAAUCGAAGAACGGAGGUCUGGGUGAUCUCACCGGCAACAAUGGUGGCGGUGACCGACGGAGGAAAACGUCGACGUAGCCAGCUGUACAGAGGUUUUUAGGCAAACUUUCUACAUGGGAAAGGGAGAGGAGAGGCAAAGGCUCAAUGUGACGCGCGUGGAAUCCUUUUAUAGUGGCCAAGGAGGGAGAUCGGGCGUGGAUGUCGACGGCCGACAUUCGGGGCAUCUAUUUUGGAAACUGCGAUAAUUAGAGGAAACUUCAAAUUGAUUUCCUGAAUGGGUUCCCGGGAUGGUGAGGAUUGAUGGGGUAGUUUCCUUUUGGAGAGAGACGCGCGGAAAGGAAAGAAAUUGAAGAAAAAAAAUAUGGAAAGAAAGGAUUUUUUACGUGCAGACGAGGAGGAAGCACGAGCACGAGCUCGUGGCUGGCUGGGGCGCUCGGUGGAGAUGGGCCGGCCAAGUUUGGUCGGUCCAUUCUCUUUUUUUUUUCCUUUUUUUUCCAUUUCUUUUUUUUUAUUAAUAACUUUUGAUUCUUAACUCCAAAUAAGUCCAAAUAAACUUCAGAAAAUUUGUAAAUUCAAAUUCUCUAAAGUGUGAACUUUUGGGACUUGAAUCCUUUCAAAAGUAAAAUAAGUAAACAUACUUUUGCUUAUAUAAAUGUCAUU
rnacentral:lncRNA from 1 species